GGGUUGUGAGGUUAAGCGACUAAGCGUACACGGUGGAUGCCCUGGCAGUCAGAGGCGAUGAAGGACGUGCUAAUCUGCGAAAAGCGUCGGUAAGGUGAUAUGAACCGUUAUAACCGGCGAUGUCCGAAUGGGGAAACCCAGUGCAAUUCGUUGCACUAUCGUUAACUGAAUACAUAGGUUAACGAGGCGAACCGGGGGAACUGAAACAUCUAAGUACCCCGAGGAAAAGAAAUCAACCGAGAUUCCCCCAGUAGCGGCGAGCGAACGGGGAGCAGCCCAGAGUCUGAAUCAGCUUGUGUGUUAGUGGAACGGUCUGGAAAGUCCGACGGUACAGGGUGAUAGUCCCGUACACCAAAAUGCACAGGCUGUGAACUCGAAGAGUAGGGCGGGACACGUGGUAUCCUGUCUGAAUAUGGGGGGACCAUCCUCCAAGGCUAAAUACUCCUGACUGACCGAUAGUGAACCAGUACCGUGAGGGAAAGGCGAAAAGAACCCCGGCGAGGGGAGUGAAAAAGAACCUGAAACCGUGUACGUACAAGCAGUGGGAGCACCUUCGGGUGUGACUGCGUACCUUUUGUAUAAUGGGUCAGCGACUUAUAUUCUGUAGCAAGGUUAACCGUAUAGGGGAGCCGCAGGGAAACCGAGUCUUAACUGGGCGUUAAGUUGCAGGGUAUAGACCCGAAACCCGGUGAUCUAGCCAUGGGCAGGUUGAAGGUUGGGUAACACUAACUGGAGGACCGAACCGACUAAUGUUGAAAAAUUAGCGGAUGACUUGUGGCUGGGGGUGAAAGGCCAAUCAAACCGGGAGAUAGCUGGUUCUCCCCGAAAGCUAUUUAGGUAGCGCCUCGUGAACUCAUCUUCGGGGGUAGAGCACUGUUUCGGCUAGGGGGUCAUCCCGACUUACCAACCCGAUGCAAACUACGAAUACCGAAGAAUGUUAUCACGGGAGACACACGGCGGGUGCUAACGUCCGUCGUGAAGAGGGAAACAACCCAGACCGCCAGCUAAGGUCCCAAAGUCAUGGUUAAGUGGGAAACGAUGUGGGAAGGCACAGACAGCCAGGAUGUUGGCUUAGAAGCAGCCAUCAUUUAAAGAAAGCGUAAUAGCUCACUGGUCGAGUCGGCCUGCGCGGAAGAUGUAACGGGGCUAAACCAUGCACCGAAGCUGCGGCAGCGACACGAUGUGUUGUUGGGUAGGGGAGCGUUCUGUAAGCCUGCGAAGGUGACCUGUGAGGGUUGCUGGAGGUAUCAGAAGUGCGAAUGCUGACAUAAGUAACGAUAAAGCGGGUGAAAAGCCCGCUCGCCGGAAGACCAAGGGUUCCUGUCCAACGUUAAUCGGGGCAGGGUGAGUCGACCCCUAAGGCGAGGCCGAAAGGCGUAGUCGAUGGGAAACAGGUUAAUAUUCCUGUACUUGGUGUUACUGCGAAGGGGGGACGGAGAAGGCUAUGUUAGCCGGGCGACGGUUGUCCCGGUUUAAGCAUGUAGGCUGGUUAUCCAGGCAAAUCCGGAUAAUCAAGGCUGAGGUGUGAUGACGAGGCACUACGGUGCUGAAGUAACAAAUGCCCUGCUUCCAGGAAAAGCCUCUAAGCAUCAGGUAACAUCAAAUCGUACCCCAAACCGACACAGGUGGUCAGGUAGAGAAUACCAAGGCGCUUGAGAGAACUCGGGUGAAGGAACUAGGCAAAAUGGUGCCGUAACUUCGGGAGAAGGCACGCUGGUGUGUAGGUGAAGUCCCUGCGGAUGGAGCUGAGACCAGUCGAAGAUACCAGCUGGCUGCAACUGUUUAUUAAAAACACAGCACUGUGCAAACACGAAAGUGGACGUAUACGGUGUGACGCCUGCCCGGUGCCGGAAGGUUAAUUGAUGGGGUUAUCCGUAAGGAGAAGCUCUUGAUCGAAGCCCCGGUAAACGGCGGCCGUAACUAUAACGGUCCUAAGGUAGCGAAAUUCCUUGUCGGGUAAGUUCCGACCUGCACGAAUGGCGUAAUGAUGGCCAGGCUGUCUCCACCCGAGACUCAGUGAAAUUGAACUCGCUGUGAAGAUGCAGUGUACCCGCGGCAAGACGGAAAGACCCCGUGAACCUUUACUAUAGCUUGACACUGAACAUUGAGCCUUGAUGUGUAGGAUAGGUGGGAGGCUUUGAAGCGUGGACGCCAGUCUGCGUGGAGCCAACCUUGAAAUACCACCCUUUAAUGUUUGAUGUUCUAACGUUGGCCCCUUAUCGGGGUUGCGGACAGUGUCUGGUGGGUAGUUUGACUGGGGCGGUCUCCUCCCAAAGCGUAACGGAGGAGCACGAAGGUUAGCUAAUCCUGGUCGGACAUCAGGAGGUUAGUGCAAUGGCAUAAGCUAGCUUGACUGCGAGCGUGACGGCGCGAGCAGGUGCGAAAGCAGGUCAUAGUGAUCCGGUGGUUCUGAAUGGAAGGGCCAUCGCUCAACGGAUAAAAGGUACUCCGGGGAUAACAGGCUGAUACCGCCCAAGAGUUCAUAUCGACGGCGGUGUUUGGCACCUCGAUGUCGGCUCAUCACAUCCUGGGGCUGAAGUAGGUCCCAAGGGUAUGGCUGUUCGCCAUUUAAAGUGGUACGCGAGCUGGGUUUAGAACGUCGUGAGACAGUUCGGUCCCUAUCUGCCGUGGGCGCUGGAGAAUUGAGGGGGGCUGCUCCUAGUACGAGAGGACCGGAGUGGACGCAUCACUGGUGUUCGGGUUGUCAUGCCAAUGGCACUGCCCGGUAGCUAAAUGCGGAAGAGAUAAGUGCUGAAAGCAUCUAAGCACGAAACUUGCCCCGAGAUGAGUUCUCCCUGAGACUUUAAGUCUCCUGAAGGAACGUUGAAGACGACGACGUUGAUAGGCCGGGUGUGUAAGCGCAGCGAUGCGUUGAGCUAACCGGUACUAAUGAACCGUGAGGCUUAACCUUACAACGCCGAAG
rnacentral:rRNA from 1 species